rnacentral:misc_RNA from 1 species
UCCGUUUCAUCGCCGGGCUUGGCGCUUUCAGCGCUUCGACCACAGCCUAUGGAUUCGGUGUCGAGCCGGCCCGGCUUCGGGUCACGCGCUACAGCGUCGCGCCGCCGCGGCCUGCCGAUUUUCAUCUCAAGAUCGCCGUCAUCGCCGACCUUCAUGCCUGCGAUCCGUGGAUGUCGCUGGAGCGCAUCCAGGGCAUCGUCGAUCGCACCAAUCGCCUGAACGCGCCUGAACGCGGAUGUCAUCGUGAUGCUUGGCGAUUACGUCGCCGGGCAUCGCCAGGUGACGCGCUAUAUUCCUGCCAGCGAAUGGGCGCCUGUACUGGCAGGGUUGA